rnacentral:rRNA from 1 species
GAUGAACGCUAGCGGCAGGCUUAACACAUGCAAGUCGAGGGGUAGAGGUUGCUUGCAACCUUGAGACCGGCGCACGGGUGCGUAACGCGUAUGCAACCUACCUUUUACAGAGGGAUAGCCCAGAGAAAUUUGGAUUAAUACCUCAUAGUAUAUAACCUUCGCAUGUUGGUUAUAUUAAAGUUUCAACGGUAAAAGAUGGGCAUGCGUCCUAUUAGCUAGAUGGUAAGGUAACGGCUUACCAUGGCAACGAUAGGUAGGGGUCCUGAGAGGGAGAUCCCCCACACUGGUACUGAGACACGGACCAGACUCCUACGGGAGGCAGCAGUGAGGAAUAUUGGACAAUGGGCGCAAGCCUGAUCCAGCCAUGCCGCGUGCAGGAAGAAGCAUCUAUGGUGUGUAAACUGCUUUUGUACAGGGAGAAACACCCCGACGUGUCGGGACUUGACGGUACUGUAAGAAUAAGGAUCGGCUAACUCCGUGCCAGCAGCCGCAGUAAAAC